CGAACGCAGGCGGCGUGCUUAACACAUGCAAGUCGAGCGGUGAACCUCUUCGGAGGGGAUCAGCGGCGAACGGGUGAGGAACACGUGGGCAACCUGCCCCAGACACCGGGAUAACCCAGGGAAACCUGAGCUAAUACCGCAUACGACCUGAGGGUGAAAGUGGGGGACCGCAAGGCCUCAUGCUAUAGGAGCGGCCGAUGUCUGAUUAGCUAGUUGGUGGGGUAAAGGCCCACCAAGGCGACGAUCAGUAGCUGGUCUGAGAGGACGAUCAGCCACACUGGGACUGAGACACGGCCCAGACUCCUACGGGAGGCAGCAGUGGGGAAUUUUGGACAAUGGGCGAAAGCCUGAUCCAGCAAUGCCGCGUGUGUGAAGAAGGCCUCGGUUGUAAAGCACUUUGUCCGAAGAAUAGGCUCUGGUUAAUACCUGGGUCGAUGACGUACCGGAAGAAUAAGGACCGGCGUAACUACGUGCCAGCAG
rnacentral:rRNA from 1 species